rnacentral:rRNA from 1 species
AUUCUGGUUGAUCCCGGCGGAGGUCACUGCUAUUGGGAUCCGACUAAGCCAUGCGAGUCGAGAGGGUUCGGCCCUCGGCAGACGGCUCAGUAACACGUGGAUAAUCUGCCCUUAGGUGGAGGAUAACCUCGGGAAACUGAGAAUAAUACUCCAUAGAUCUAGGAUGCUGGAAUGCAUCUAGGUUGAAAACUGCGGUGCCUAAGGAUGAGUCUGCGGACUAUCAGGUUGUAGUCAGGGUAAAGACCUGACUAGCCUACGACGGAUAUGGGUUGUGAGAGCAAUAACCCAGAGAUGAUAUCUGAGACACGAUAUCAGGCCCUACGGGGCGCAGCAGGCGCGAAAACUUCACACUGCGCGAAAGCGUGAUGAGGGGAUCCCGAGUGCUUGCACGUAAGUGUAAGCUGUUUUUAUGUUUAAAAGGCAUANAGAGUAAGAGCUGGGUAAGACGGGUGCCACCGCCGCGGUAAUACCUGCAGCUCGAGUGGNGACCGCUAUUAUUGGGCCUAAAACG